AUGAUGCAGGCAAAUAAUUUUGAUGCAAUAUAAAAGGCAAGCUGAACUGUAGAUCUACCCAGAUUAGAUUCAAUAAGAAUUAAAGGUCAAAACCAUGGUGGUUACACAAAGCAUCUGUAUACAAGAUUUUUUAGGCUUGUUAAAUGGAAAAAUUAUAUGAAAAUAAUAGUCUCCAGUAAUAUCUACAUUUUAACUCAUAUGAGAAAUCUUAUAACAGUUUCAAUAUUCAGACAGAUCAUGAGAUGGAAACCAAUGUAAUUGAGACGAAAAGGGAGUACAACUCGAAAUAUCAAGGAAAAACAAGAAAUGCCAUUGUGAAUCUGCAGAUGAUGUCCUAUACAACCAUCCUUCCAUGACACAUGCAAUGGGAAGUUUAUUUCAGGAAACAAAGCCUGUCUGAAACUCCAAAAUGACAUUUCCAGAAAGUUGAAGAAAGGAUAAAAAUGUAUCUACCAUCUUACAACCCAGAUUUCAUUCCACUGAAAAGAAAAGGGACAGGAAAUUUUGCAUGUCCAUGUCUUGGAAGGUGAAUAGGAGGAAAUUCAAAAGAUGCUUACCUUAUCAGAUGGUUGCAGUGGAUACUGGGGAUAAAGUAGCAGAAAAUUAUGGAAAACAGGGAAGUGGCAGCCAGGACUAUGGAGGGGAGGCGACAAUGACAGUGAGAUGGCAUUAGGUUGGACACCAGAAGGGAAGAGGGCAUUUAAGAGACCGAAAACAACCUGGAGAGGAACAGUAGAAGCAGAAAGAAAGAUUGCAGAAUGGAGAAACUUGAAUGAGAUCAAGAUGGUAGCAAUAGAACAGAGUGGGUUGGAGAGAGUCUCGGUCCUAUGUGUUUUGGCAUUGAGAGAACUAAGUAAUGUCUAGAUUGUUGGAGAUAGGAUGACCAGGAAUAUGAAUGGAUGUGCUGGAAACUGUACUAAGACCCUUAUGUAUUUGGAUAGAUUUACAUACCAUCAUGAUUUUGCUAUGAAAAACUUGAAAAAAAUCCUCAACUCACAUUGUAGCUGACAUUAUACAUUUGUACUUAUUAAUAUUUCAAAUGAACAUAUAUUUAGAUAUACAAUAUCUAAACUUUGGAGUCCAUGUACAUCUCCACAUUGGAUAAUAGGUUAUGAUAUAUGUGUGUGAAAUCUUUUCCUAUAGUAUGCACAUGUUAACACAUUAGUUUAAAUGAUGAUGUAUAUCUUAUGACUAUGGAAGAGAAUGUGUUCAGAACAGAAUAUGUGUCUAGAAGAGUUGUUGCCCUUGAAUGUAAUUCAUUAUUUACAUGGGGUUGAAAAAUAAUCCAGCACACAGUAGUACUAAAUGCAUUAUGUUAAAAUACAUUUAUGAAUGGUAUAAGUGAUACUGUCAAUUACUGAUUAAUACACUUUGUGAAAUCAUAUUAUUGUUAUGUUUAAUAAAUUUCAAGACUGCA